UAGGGAAUCUUCGGCAAUGGGGGGAACCCUGACCGAGCAACGCCGCGUGAGUGAAGAAGGUUUUCGGAUCGUAAAGCUCUGUUGUUAAGGAAGAACGAGUGUGAGAAUGGAAAGUUCAUGCUGUGACGGUACUUAACCAGAAAGGGACGGCUAACUACGUGCCAGCAGCCGCGGUAAUACGUAGGUCCCGAGCGUUGUCCGGAUUUAUUGGGCGUAAAGCGAGCGCAGGCGGUUAGAAAAGUCUGAAGUGAAAGGCAGUGGCUCAACCAUUGUAGGCUUUGGAAACUGGUUAACUUGAGUGCAGUAGGGGAGAGAGGAAUUCCAUGUGUAGCGGUGAAAUGCGUAGAUAUAUGGAGGAACACCGGUGGCGAAAGCGGCUCUCUGGUCUGUAACUGACGCUGAGGCUCGAAAGCGUGGGGAGCGAACAGG
rnacentral:rRNA from 1 species